GAUGAACGUUGGCGGUGUGCCUAAUACAUGCAAGUCGAACGGAGCUUGCUUCCAUUUGAUUAAAGUGGCGAACGGGUGAGUAACGCGUUGGUGAUCUGCCUCGAAGUGUGGAAUAACGUUCCGAAAGGGACGCUAAUACCGCAUGUGCUCAAGAUUUUUAGAAAGUUUUGAGUAAAGGAUUUAUUCGCUUCGAGAGGAGCGUGCGUCCCAUCAGCUAGUUGGUAAGGUAACGGCUUACCAAGGCUAUGACGGGUAGGGGACCUGAGAGGGUGGCCCCCCACAAUGGAACUGAAACACGGUCCAUACACCUACGGGUGGCAGCAGUAGGGAAUAUUAGAAAUGGGCGAAAGCCUGAUCUAGCGACACCGCGUGUGCGAUGAAGGCCUUCGGGUUGUAAAGCACUUUUUGGAAGGAAUAGGAAGGAAGGUACCUCCAGAAUAAGUCUCGGCUAACUACGUGCCAGCCGCCGCAGUAAAAC
rnacentral:rRNA from 1 species